rnacentral:tRNA from 1 species
CCGUAGCUCAGUGGUAGAGCACUCGGCUCAUAACCGAUUGGUCGCAGGUUCGAACCCUGCCGGGCC